GGGACCGUAGCAUAGAGGGAUUGCACGGACUCCAGAUCUCGAAGGCGUCGGUUCAAAUCCGACCGGUCCCA
rnacentral:tRNA from 1 species